rnacentral:lncRNA from 1 species
AAGUUCCCUCACAUGAUCUGUGGUAAUACAACUAACAACAACAUUAUUUUCUCUGUAUCUUUAUAUUGAAUUUGCCAUCAUUUUUUUUUUUUUUUUUUUUUGAGACAGAGUCUCGCUUUGUCGCCAGGUGCCAAGUUAGAGUGCAGUGGCGUGAUCUCGGCUCACUACAACCUCUGCCUCCCGGAUUCAAGCAAUUCUCCUGCCUCAGCCUCCCGCGUAGCUGGGACUGCAGGUGUAUCAUGUUAAGACUGCUUCAUCAAUUUACCACUUGGCAACUCUUACAACAACAGGAAAAAACAACAACAACCAGAAAGUGCAAGAAGAACUAGUGCAGUGAGUUGUCCCAGUUUAUAUUCAGUUCCAGUUUAUAUUCAGUUUUGUCAAUUUGACCUUCACAGGUCUGUAAUUACGGUAAUCACAGACUACUGAACAUGCUAACAAUCAAAGCAUCCCAAUUUGAACAGUUCAACAAUAGCCUUUUUAAUAGGGGUAAAAUCGUGCCAGAAAGACUGGAAGGCUGCUUCAGCCUUUUCUGAAGACGCUGGAUAAU